UACGAAGGGGGCCAGCGUUGCUCGGAAUCACUGGGCGUAAAGGGCGCGUAGGCGGCGUUUUAAGUCGGGGGUGAAAGCCUGUGGCUCAACCACAGAAUGGCCUUCGAUACUGGGACGCUUGAGUAUGGUAGAGGUUGGUGGAACUGCGAGUGUAGAGGUGAAAUUCGUAGAUAUUCGCAAGAACACCGGUGGCGAAGGCGGCCAACUGGACCAUUACUGACGCUGAGGCGCGAAAGCGUGGGGAGCAAACAGG
rnacentral:rRNA from 1 species